rnacentral:rRNA from 1 species
GUAGAGAUGAAUAUUCUCUGUGCCGUCGCAAACGCAGUAAGUAUCCCACCUGGGGAGUACGGCCGCAAGGUUGAAACUCAAAGGAAUUGACGGGGGCCCGCACAAGCAGUGGAGUAUGUGGUUUAAUUCGACGCAACGCGAAGAACCUUACCAGGGCUUGACAUAUACAGGAAUACUCAAGAGAUUGAGUAGCUCUUCGGAGUCUGUAAACAGGUGGUGCAUGGUUGUCGUCAGCUCGUGUCGUGAGAUGUUGGGUUAAGUCCCGCAACGAGCGCAACCCCCGUGAUUAGUUGCCAGCACGUAAAGGUGGGAACUCUAAUCAGACUGCCGGUGAUAAAUCGGAGGAAGGUGGGGACGACGUCAAAUCAUCAUGCCCUAUAUGUCCUGGGCUACACACGUACUACAAUGGCUGUAACAGAGGGAAGCGAAGCAGUGAUGUGGAGCAAAACCCAAAAAAGCAGUCUCAGUUCGGAUUGAAGGCUGAAAUUCGCCUUCAUGAAGCCGGAAUUGCUAGUAAUGGCAGGUCAGCAUACUGCCGUGAAUACGUUCCCGGGCCUUGUACACACCGCCCGUCACACCAUGAGAGUUGGGGAUACCCGAAGCCUGUGAGCUAACUUUAAAGAGGCAGCAGUCGAAGGUAGAAUCAAUGAUUGGGGUGAA